rnacentral:rRNA from 1 species
GAUGAACGCUAGCUACAGGCUUAACACAUGCAAGUCGAGGGGUAACGAGAGGAAAGCUUGCUUUCCUUGUCGACGACCGGCGCACGGGUGAGUAACGCGUAUCCAACCUGCCCCCAACUAGGGAAUAACCUUGCGAAAGUACGACUAAUACCCUAUAAUUUCCUCAGAUGUCAUCUGACGAGGAAUAAAGAUUUAUCGGUUGUGGAUGGGGAUGCGUCUGAUUAGCUGGUGGGCGGGGUAACGGCCCACCAAGGCAACGAUCAGUAGGGGUUCUGAGAGGAAGGUCCCCCACAUUGGAACUGAGACACGGUCCAAACUCCUACGGGAGGCAGCAGUGAGGAAUAUUGGUCAAUGGGCGGAAGCCUGAACCAGCCAAGUAGCGUGCAGGAUGACGGCCCUAUGGGUUGUAAACUGCUUUUAUACAGGAAUAAAGUUAGCCAAGUGUGGUUAUUUGUAGGUACUGUAUGAAUAAGGACCGGCUAAUUCCGUGCCAGCAGCCGCCGUAA